GCUGCUAAAGGAUAACAGCUCAUCCGUUGGUCUUAGGAACCAAAAACUCUUGGUGCAAACCAAGUCGCAACU
rnacentral:tRNA from 1 species